rnacentral:rRNA from 1 species
AUACGUAGGUGACAAGCGUUAUCCGGAUUUACUGGGUGUAAAGGGCGUGUAGGCGGUUUGGCAAGUCAGAAGUGAAAUUCCCGGGCUUAACUUGGGCGCUGCUUCUGAAACUGCUUAGCUUGAGUGCUGGAGAGGAUAGUGGAAUUCCUAGUGUAGCGGUAAAAUGCGCAGAUAUUAGGAGGAACACCGGUGGCGAAGGCGGCUAUCUGGACAGUAACUGACGCUGAGGCGCGAAAGCACGGGGAGCAAACAGGAUUAGAUACCCUGGUAGUCCGUGCCGUAAACGAUGAAUACUAGGUGUAGGGGGUAUCGACUCCCUCUGUGCCGCAGUUAACACAUUAAGUAUUCCACCUGGGGAGUACGGCCGCAAGGUUGAAACUCAAAGGAAUUGACGGGG